UUCAAGUGCAAUUGUGAGUUUCCGUAUCCAAUGUUUGACUGUCUAUCUUAUUUAAUUUUUUUAUGAUUAAUAUUUUUAUUGUUAUUAGAUGAUAAAUUAUAAAUAAUAUAUUUAUGUGGAUGGUCAAAUGUUGGAUACCAAAACUUACAACCAUACUUAAA
rnacentral:pre_miRNA from 1 species